rnacentral:lncRNA from 1 species
CUAACAGCUUUUUGUUUUAAUUUGUUUUCAACAGCAGGCAGCCUUUUUUUUUUUUUUUAACUGCAGCGUUUCUUUUUUAACCUACAAGGAACAUUCUCUUUUGCUUUUUUGCUUUUUUUUUUACUUGUUAACUUAUUAUUAUUAAGUAUUAAUCAAUUUUUUUUAAAAAUAAUAAUUAAAAUUAAGUAUUAAUCAAUAAUUAGUUUUUAACUAAUUUAAUUUAACUUUU